rnacentral:rRNA from 1 species
AGGUUAAGUUAACAAGGGCGCAUGGUGAAUGCCUUGGCACUAGGAGCCGAUGAAGGACGGGACUAACACCGAUAUGCUUCGGGGAGCUGUACGUAAGCUAUGAUCCGGAGAUUUCCGAAUGGGGCAACCCAGCAGUUUUAAUCAACUGUUACCACUAGAUGAAUUCAUAGUCUAGUUGGAGGUAAACGCUGUGAACUGAAACAUCUCAUUAGCAGCAGGAAUAUAAAGAAAUUUCGAUUCCCUAAGUAGCGGCGAGCGAACGGGGAACAGCCCAAACCAAAGUGCUUGCACUUUGGGGUUGUAGGACUGAACAUUUGAGUUACCAAAGAACUUGAUAGUCGAAGGAUUUGGGAAAAUCCGCCAUAGAUGGUGAUAGCCCAGUAGAUUAAAUCAAAUUCUCUCAGUUCAGGAUCCUGAGUACGGCGGAACACGUGAAAUUCCGUCGGAAUCCGGGAGGACCAUCUCCCAAGGCUAAAUACUACCUAGUGACCGAUAGUGAACCAGUACCGUGAGGGAAAGGUGAAAAGCACCCCGGGAGGGGAGUGAAAUAGUUCCUGAAACCAUGUGCCUACAAUAAGUCAGAGCGCGUUAAUGCGUGAUGGCGUGCCUUUUGUAGAAUGAACCGGCGAGUUAUGAUCCCGUGCAAGGUUAAGACUAAAAAGUCGGAGCCGUAGCGAAAGCGAGUCUGAAAUGGGCGUUUUGAGUACGAGGUUAUAGACCCGAAACCAGGUGACCUAUCCAUGUCCAGGUUGAAGGUGCGGUAAAACGCACUGGAGGACCGAACCCGUGUAAGUUGAAAAUUGCUGGGAUGAGGUGUGGAUAGCGGUGAAAUUCCAAACGAACUUGGAGAUAGCUGGUUCUCUCCGAAAUAGCUUUAGGGCUAGCCCCGGAAUUAGGAUCAUGGAGGUAGAGCACUAUUUGGACUAGGGGCCCGUCUUGGGUUACUGAAUUCAGAUAAACUCCGAAUGCCAUUGAUUCAUAUCCGGGAGUCAGACGAUGAGUGAUAAGAUCCACCGUCGAAAGGGGAACAGCCCAGACCAUCAGUUAAGGUCCCUAAAUGUAUGCUAAGUGGAAAAGGAUGUGGAGUUGCAUAGACAACUAGGAUGUUGGCUCAGAAGCAGCCACCAUUUAAAGAGUGCGUAAUAGCUCACUAGUCGAGUGAUCCUGCGCCGAAAAUGUACCGGGGCUAAGCAUACUACCGAAACCAUGGAUGCGACCAUUAGGUCGCGUGAUAGGAGAGCGUUCUAAGGGCGGUGAAGCAAGAUCGUGAGGACUUGUGGAGCGCUUAGAAGUGAGAAUGCCGGUAUGAGUAGCGAAAGAUAGGUGAGAAUCCUAUCCACCGAAUGACUAAGGUUUCCUGGGGAAGGCUCGUCCUCCCAGGGUUAGUCGGGACCUAAGUCGAGGCCGAGAGGCGUAGACGAUGGAUAACAGGUUGAGAUUCCUGUACUAGUUAAGUGCGUUUGAGCAAUGGAGGGACGCAGGAGGCUAAGAUGUGCAUUCUGUUGGAUUAGAAUGUCCAAGCAGUAAGUCUUGUGAAGAGUCAAAUGCUUUUCACUUUAAGGACAAGCUGUGAUGGGGAGCGAAAUUUAGUAGCGAAGCGUCUGAUGUCACACUGCCGAGAAAAGCUUCUAGUGAGUACUUAACUACCCGUACCGCAAACCGACACAGGUAGUCGAGGAGAGAAUCCUAAGGUGAGCGAGUGAACUCUCGUUAAGGAACUCGGCAAAAUGACCCCGUAACUUCGGGAGAAGGGGUGCUGAUCGCAAGAUCAGCCGCAGUGAAUAGGCCCAGGCGACUGUUUAUCAAAAACACAGGUCUCUGCAAAAUCGUAAGAUGACGUAUAGGGGCUGACGCCUGCCCGGUGCUGGAAGGUUAAAAGGAUGGGUUAGCUUCGGCGAAGCUCAGAAUUGAAGCCCCAGUAAACGGCGGCCGUAACUAUAACGGUCCUAAGGUAGCGAAAUUCCUUGUCGGGUAAGUUCCGACCCGCACGAAAGGCGUAACGAUCUGGGCACUGUCUCAACGAGAGACUCGGUGAAAUUAUAUUGUCCGUGAAGAUGCGGACUACCCGCGACAGGACGGAAAGACCCCAUGGAGCUUUACUGUAGCUUGAUAUUGAGUGUUUGUACAGCUUGUACAGGAUAGGUAGGAGCCAUAGAAACCGGAACGCUAGUUUCGGUGGAGGCGUUGGUGGGAUACUACCCUCGCUGUAUGACCACUCUAACCCGCACCACUAAUCGUGGUGGGAGACAGUGUCAGGUGGGCAGUUUGACUGGGGCGGUCGCCUCCUAAAAAGUAACGGAGGCGCCCAAAGGUUCCCUCAGAAUGGUUGGAAAUCAUUCGCAGAGUGUAAAGGCACAAGGGAGCUUGACUGCGAGACAGACAGGUCGAGCAGGGACGAAAGUCGGGCUUAGUGAUCCGGUGGUACCGUAUGGAAGGGCCAUCGCUCAACGGAUAAAAGCUACCCUGGGGAUAACAGGCUUAUCUCCCCCAAGAGUCCACAUCGACGGGGAGGUUUGGCACCUCGAUGUCGGCUCAUCGCAUCCUGGGGCUGUAGUCGGUCCCAAGGGUUGGGCUGUUCGCCCAUUAAAGCGGUACGCGAGCUGGGUUCAGAACGUCGUGAGACAGUUCGGUCCCUAUCCGUCGCGGGCGUAGGAAAUUUGAGAGGACCUGUCCUUAGUACGAGAGGACCGGGAUGGACAUACCUCUGGUGUACCAGUUGUGCCGCCAGGCGCAUCGCUGGGUAGCUACGUAUGGAUGUGAUAAACGCUGAAAGCAUCUAAGUGUGAAACACACCUCGAGAUGAGAUUUCCCAUUCCUUUAUGGAAGUAAGACCCCUGAAAGAUGAUCAGGUAGAUAGGUUAGAAGUGGCAGUGCGGUGACGCAUGAAGCGGACUAAUACUAAUCGGUCGAGGACUUAACCAAG